UAGCUGAGAUUGAAGAACACUUGAAAAUUAUCAAGAAUGUACUGCGGAGUAUUGAAAUUGCAAGUUAUCAUCAAAGGAAGCUGACUCUUAUUUGUGGAAAACAAACACAGAAAAAAGAAGAAGGAAGGAAGGAAGGAAUCAUACCUUCCCUGUUUCAAAUAACAAGCAUCAAGCAUCGUGAUAAUGUGGACACUAAGGAGCAACAAUUUCUCUAAAGAUAAGAAUAAAGAUAGACUUUUAGACUACGAGAUGG
rnacentral:lncRNA from 1 species